AACAAGGCGAUAGUAAUUCAGUGAAUAGAGCUUGUACAGGACAUAAACACCUCUUUGACCAAUAAUUGAUGUGUAUUGGUUGAAUAACAAAACGACCCUUAUUUAUUGUUACCCUGGCAACCCGCCGUGUUUGAUUGACGUUUGAUUUAAUAAUUCUGAUACAACUCAUAAUUCUAAUCUAAUAGAAACUCCAAAACCUCAGACAAAGAGGACUAGAAUUUUACAUAAAAAGCCGCGUUCUGCAGUACAAAAGUUAGAAGAGGCAUCUCAAAUAGUGGAAAGUGCCAAACUCCGCAACACGGUAGUGUUCCAGUGUUUGCAGAAAGAGCACGAAACAAAACAAAGGCAGAUGGC